UACGUAGGGGCAAGCGUUGUCCGGAAUCAUUGGGCGUAAAGAGCGUGUAGGCGGCCCGGUAAGUCCGCUGUGAAAGCGAGGGCUCAACCUCGAAUGCCGGCGGAUACUGUCGGGCUAGAGUCCGGAAGAGGCGAGUGGAAUUCCUGGUGUAGCGGUGAAAUGCGCAGAUAUCAGGAGGAACACCGGUGGCGAAGGCGGGUUGCUGGGCCGACACUGACGUGGAUGCGCGAAAGCCCAGGGGAGCGAACGGGG
rnacentral:rRNA from 1 species